ACUGAACUUUUUGGCACUGUUAUCACACUUGAUGAGAGGUCUGGAACAAUGGGAGUAGGAUCACAAGUUCUUUGAACCUGGUUUAAAAAAAAGUUAGCCUCUUUGUUCUCUGACAUGAGCAAUGUAAUCCCUGUUUUCCAACUACAGGAUGUUGAUCCUUCAUCUACAUUUGAUGCCCCACCAACAGUAAGUGGCAUCUCCAUGCCAAAUUCAAGUGGAGUGGAGUUUGGGUAUGGAUAGACACUAGUAAUGUCAGAUUCGGAUGGCCCAGUAGAAAGACUCAACUCCAGAUCAAUCUUGGGCAGCAAUUCUAGUUCUUUAAGAUUUGAACUAGCAUAUUUCUUUGGGCUGGACAUCUUUUCAUUGCCCAGAUGGAAGGAAAAGUCCAAUUCAAGAUCCAUUGAUGACUCCUCAUCAGUUUCUUUGGCUGAAGACAUUGUAGUGCAAACAGUUGCUGAACUUCCCUUGCUGUCUGAGGAACUUGAUGAGCGGCCUAGCCCAAGAGACAAUGAAGAGCCAACACAUUGACCCAUGGAUCCAUCUAUUAAAUUCCAUUUCCGUUUAACUCCCUUUGAUGGAGACCUGUAAGUGACUGAAGAACCAGGGGAAUCAAGACGUAAAAUAGUAUCUGCACUAUAUUCAGCCACAGCUC
rnacentral:misc_RNA from 1 species